rnacentral:siRNA from 1 species
ACCUGCGUGAUCUGAACCUUGGU